rnacentral:rRNA from 1 species
UGAGGAAUAUUGGUCAAUGGGCGCAAGCCUGAACCAGCCAUGCCGCGUGCAGGAAGACGGUCCUAUGGAUUGUAAACUGCUUUUAUUCGGGGAUAAACCUCCUUACGUGUAGGGAGCUGAAGGUACCGAAAGAAUAAGCACCGGCUAACUCCGUGCCAGCAGCCGCGGUAAUACGGAGGGUGCAAGCGUUAUCCGGAAUCAUUGGGUUUAAAGGGUCCGCAGGCGGGAUUGUAAGUCAGUGGUGAAAAGCGGCAGCUCAACUGUCGUCGUGCCGUUGAUACUGUAGUUCUUGAAUUUGAUUGGAGUGGGCGGAAUAUGUCAUGUAGCGGUGAAAUGCUUAGAUAUGACAUAGAACACCGAUCGCGAAGGCAGCUCACUAAGUCUGAAUUGACGCUCAUGGACGAAAGCGCGGGUAGCAAACAGGAUUAGAUACCCUGGUAGUCCGCGCCGUAAACGAUGAUUACUCGUUGCCGGCCUUUUGGGGUCGGUGACCAAGCGAAAGUGAUAAGUAAUCCACCUGGGGAGUACGAUCGCAAGGUUGA